GACGUAGGGUGCGAGCGUUGUCCGGAUUUAUUGGGCGUAAAGAGCUCGUAGGCGGCUCGUCGCGUCUGCCGUGAAAACCCGCAGCUCAACUGCGGGCUUGCGGUUGAUACGGGCGGGCUGGAGUUCGGUAGGGGAGACGUGGAAUUCCUGGUGUAGCGGUGAAAUGCGCAGAUAUCAGGAGGAACACCGAUGGCGAAGGCAGGUCUCUGGGCCACUACUGACGCUGAGAAGCGAAAGCGUGGGGAGCGAACAGG
rnacentral:rRNA from 1 species